GACGAACGCUGGCGGUGUGCCUAACACAUGCAAGUCGAACGGAAAGGCCCUGAUAUCGUGGGGUGACCGAUUGCCGAACGCGUACGUAACACGAGUGCAACCUGAUCUAGUUUUUCGGAUAACUUCACGAAACUAGAGUUACUAUCAGACAGGAGACGACGUACCAUGGUGGGGGUUGGAUAGUCUCGGCGGUCUGGGUUGGACUAGCGGCUUAUCAGCUUGUUGGUGGGGUAGUGGCUUACCAAGGCUUUGACGGGUAGCCGGCCUGAGAGGGUGACCGGCCACAUUGGGACUGAGAGACGGCCCAGACUCCUACGGGAGGCAGCAGUGGGGAAUAUUGCACAAUGGGCGGAAGCCUGAUGCAGCAACGCCGCGUGCGGGAUGACGGCCUUCGGGUUGUAAACCGCUUUCGCCUGUGACGAAGCGUGAGUGACGGUAAUGGGUAAAGAAGCACCGGCUAACUACGUG
rnacentral:rRNA from 1 species